GACGAACGCUGGCGGCGUGCUUAACACAUGCAAGUCGAACGGAAAGGCCCCUUUGGGGGUACUCGAGUGGCGAACGGGUGAGUAACACGUGAGUAACCUGCCCUUGACUUCGGGAUAACUUCAGGAAACUGGGGCUAAUACCGGAUAGGAAUCCUUGCUGCAUGGUGGGGGUUGGAAAGCUUCGGCGGUUUUGGAUGGACUCGCGGCUUAUCAGCUUGUUGGUGGGGUAGUGGCUUACCAAGGCUUUGACGGGUAGCCGGCCUGAGAGGGCGACCGGCCACAUUGGGACUGAGAUACGGCCCAGACUCCUACGGGAGGAAGCAGUGGGGAAGAUUGCACAAUGGGCGGAAGCCUGAUGCAGCAACGCCGCGUGCGGGAUGACGGCCUUCGGGUUGUAAACCGCUUUCAGCAGGGGCGAAGCUUGUGGUGACGGUACCUGCAGAAGAAGCACCGGCUAACUACGUG
rnacentral:rRNA from 1 species